rnacentral:rRNA from 1 species
GAUGAACGCUGGCGGCGUGCUUAACACAUGCAAGUCGAGCGAGAAGUUUUGAAAAGAUUCUUCGGAUGAAAUUUAAAAUGGAAAGCGGCGGACGGGUGAGUAACGCGUAGGCAACCUGCCCCAUACAAAGGGAUAGCAUUUGGAAACGAAUAUUAAUACCUUAUGAAACUUAACUAGUGCAUGCUAGGUAGGUCAAAGAUUUAUCGGUAUGGGAUGGGCCUGCGUCUGAUUAGCUAGUCGGUGAGGUAACGGCUCACCAAGGCGACGAUCAGUAGCCGACCUGAGAGGGUGAACGGCCACAUUGGAACUGAGACACGGUCCAAACUCCUACGGGAGGCAGCAGUGGGGAAUAUUGCACAAUGGGGGAAACCCUGAUGCAGCAACGCCGCGUGAACGAUGAAGGCCUUUGGGUCGUAAAGUUCUGUUCUAGGUGACGAAAACUGACAGUAACCUAGGAGAAAGCCCCGGCUAACUCCGUG